GGGGACAUAGUGUAGCUAGGCAGCACGGUGGGCUCCAGACCCGCAAACUAGGGUUCAAAUCCCUAUGUCCCCA
rnacentral:tRNA from 1 species